rnacentral:rRNA from 1 species
CAGCAGCCACGGUAAUACGUAGGGUGCGAGCGUUAAUCGGAAUUACUGGGCGUAAAGCGUGCGCAGGCGGUUUUGUAAGACAGGCGUGAAAUCCCAGGGCUCAACCUGGGAAUGGCGCUUGUGACUGCAAAGCUAGAGUGCGGCAGAGGGGGAUGGAAUUCCGCGUGUAGCAGUGAAAUGCGUAGAUAUGCGGAGGAACACCGAUGGCGAAGGCAAUCCCCUGGGCCUGCACUGACGCUCAUGCACGAAAGCGUGGGGAGCAAACAGGAUUAGAUACCCCCGUAGUCCCUGUCUCUUAUAA